UACGUAGGGUGCAAGCGUUGUCCGGAAUUAUUGGGCGUAAAGAGCUCGUAGGCGGUUUGUCGCGUCUGCUGUGAAAACCCGAGGCUCAACCUCGGGCCUGCAGUGGGUACGGGCAGACUAGAGUGCGGUAGGGGAGAUUGGAAUUCCUGGUGUAGCGGUGGAAUGCGCAGAUAUCAGGAGGAACACCAAUGGCGAAGGCAGGUCUCUGGGCAUUAACUGACGCUGAGGAGCGAAAGCAUGGGGAGCGAACAGG
rnacentral:rRNA from 1 species